rnacentral:rRNA from 1 species
UGGCGGAGGGUGAGUCGCUGGGAACUGCUGGUGGGGGAUAACUGCGGAUGCCUAUACGACCCAGAAGAUUUAUCGCCAUUGGAGGGGCCCGCGUUCGAUUAGGUAGUUGGUGAGGUAAUGGCUCACCAAGCCGACGAUCGAUAGCUGGUCUGAGAGGAUGAUCAGCCACACUGGGACUGAGAUACGGCCCAGACUCCUACGGGAGGCAGCAGUGGGGAAUAUUGGACAAUGGGGGCAACCCUGAUCCAGCAAUGCCGCGUGAGUGAUGAAGGCCUUCGGGUUGUAAAGCUCUUUUGCCUGGGACGAUGAUGACGGUACCUGGAGAAUAAGCCCCGGCUAACUUCGUGCCAGCAGCCGCGGUAAUACGAAGGGGGCAAGCGUUGUUCGGAAUUACUGGGCGUAAAGGGCGCGUAGGCGGCUUAUCAAGUCAGGCGUGAAAUUCCCGGGCUCAACCUGGGGGCUGCGCUUGAUACUGAUGAGCUUGAAUGCGGGAGAGGAUAGUGGAAUUCCCAGUGUAGAGGUGAAAUUCGUAGAUAUUGGGAAGAACACCAGUGGCGAAGGCGGCUAUCUGGCCCGUAAUUGACGCUGAGGCGCGAAAGCGUGGGGAGCAAACAGGAUUAGAUACCCCGGUAGUCCACGCUGUAAACGAUGGGUGCUAGGGGGGGGUAUCGACCCCCCCCGUGCCGAAGCUGCAUAGCACCUGGGGAGUACGGCCGCAGGGUUGAAACUCGGAAUUGACGGGGGCCCGCACACGGUGGAGCAUGGGUUUAAUUCGACGCAACGCGGAAACUCCUGGUUGACUCGGGAGUACAACGAAAGGGGAGGGACUCUAACGAGUGCAUGGUGUCGUCAGCUCGUGCC